rnacentral:tRNA from 1 species
GCCGCUAUAGCUCAAUGGUAGAGCGCCGAUCUUGUAAAUCGGAGAUAGGGGUUCGAUUCCCUUUAGCGGUA